rnacentral:rRNA from 1 species
UCCGUAGGUGGAUAAUUAAGUCAGAGGUGAAAUCCUGCAGCUCAACUGUAGCAUUGCCUUUGAUACUGGUUAUCUUGAGUCAUUAUGAAGUGGUUAGAAUGUGUAGUGUAGCGGUGAAAUGCAUAGAUAUUACACAGAAUACCGAUUGCGAAGGCAGAUCACUAAUAAUGUACUGACACUGAGGGACGAAAGCGUGGGGAGCGAACAGGAUUAGAUACCCUGGUAGUCC